rnacentral:rRNA from 1 species
UACGUAGGGGGCAAGCGUUGUCCGGAUUCAUUGGGCGUAAAGAGCGUGUAGGCGGCCAGGUAGGUCGGUUGUGAAAACUGGAGGCUCAACCUUCAGAGGUCGACCGAAACCAUCUGGCUAGAGUCCGGGAGAGGAGAGUGGAAUUCCUGGUGUAGCGGUGAAAUGCGCAGAUAUCAGGAGGAACACCAAUGGCGAAGGCAGCUCGCUGGGACGGUACUGACGCUAAGGCGCGAAAGCGUGGGGAGCGAACAGG